rnacentral:rRNA from 1 species
GAGUACGGCCGCAAGGUUAAAACUCAAAUGAAUUGACGGGGGCCCGCACAAGCGGUGGAGCAUGUGGUUUAAUUCGAUGCAACGCGAAGAACCUUACCUGGUCUUGACAUCCACAGAAGAAUCCAGAGAUGGAUUUGUGCCUUCGGGAACUGUGAGACAGGUGCUGCAUGGCUGUCGUCAGCUCGUGUUGUGAAAUGUUGGGUUAAGUCCCGCAACGAGCGCAACCCUUAUCCUUUGUUGCCAGCGAUUAGGUCGGGAACUCAAAGGAGACUGCCAGUGAUAAACUGGAGGAAGGUGGGGAUGACGUCAAGUCAUCAUGGCCCUUACGACCAGGGCUACACACGUGCUACAAUGGCGCAUACAAAGAGAAGCGACCUCGCGAGAGCAAGCGGACCUCAUAAAGUGCGUCGUAGUCCGGAUUGGAGUCUGCAACUCGACUCCAUGAAGUCGGAAUCGCUAGUAAUCGUGGAUCAGAAUGCCACGGUGAAUACGUUCCCGGGCCUUGUACACACCGCCCGUCACACCAUGGGAGUGGGUUGCAAAAGAAGUAGGUAGCUUAACCUUCGGGAGGGCGCUUACCACUUUGUGAUUCAUGACUGGGGUGAAGUCGUAACAAGGUAACCGUAGGGGAACCUGCGGUUGGA